CUCUCUAAGGUGCAUUAUGAACUAGAGCCCCCCUACAAAUAAACCAGUGUUCUCUCUCAGGUCCAUUAUGAACUAGAGCCCCCCUACAAAUAAACCAGUGUUCUCUCUAAGGUGCAUUAUGAACUAGAGCCCCCCUACAAAUAAACCACUGUGUUCUCUCUAAGGUCCAUUAUGAACUAGAGCCCCCCUACAAAUAAACCACACAGUUGUUUGCUUCUGUUUUAUUUGUCAUCAGAUAUAAAAAUCAAUGAAUUGAUGUCUGUAUGAUACAGCGUAUAACUGCUACCUACGAACACAACAUGCGGAGACUCUCUUGGUAUCGGGGAAAAAAGCAACAAGUCAUUUUCAAAGUGUGUCAUGUCAACACAAACGAUUACUUGAACUUGAACAUGUAAAUAUAUUGUCAUUAUUAUCCGUAAGAUAGACUGACUGAAAAGUAGAAUUAGUUCACAUCUUUAGUUGUAUUAGGACUAUGCACUAUAGUUGACCCAGUUUGUCUAUGGUUCACAAUGACAGGCCAGAACAACACCUAUGUAUUUACAGCAAAGUGUUAUAGGCUACAUCACUGUUAAAGCCCCAUAGUUUCACUCAGUGUAGGCUACCUGCCCUCACUUACAGUGUAGGCUACCUGCCCUCACUACAGUGUAGGAUACCUGCCCUCUCACUACAGUGGAGGCUACCUGCCUUCUCACUACGGUGGAGGCUACCUGCCCUCUCACUACAGUGGAGGAUACCUGCCUUCUCACUACAGUGGAGGCUACCUGCCCUCUCACUACAGUGGAGGCUACCUGCCCUCUCACUACAGUGUAGGCUACCUGCCUUCUCACUACGGUGGAGGCUACCUGCCCUCUCACUACAGUGGAGGCUACCUGCCUUCUCACUACGGUGGAGGCUACCUGCCCUCUCAGGACACCAGGGGGAGACAAAUGUCCAUGAAAAAGAAAUACUCCCCUCCAAUCCUGGCCAGAAUCCAUAUGAUUCCAUAUUAUUUAUUCCAUGUUAUAUAUUCCAUGUUAUAUAUUAAAUAUUUAAGUCAUACCAUGGCAACAAUGAUAAUCACCUAAUGUAGAUUCAAGCAAACAUAAAUAAUAUGAUCAUAGUUUAUUUUUGAAUGGCAUCAAUAUUAACAUACCGUAUUGUAUCCACUA
rnacentral:lncRNA from 13 species